UACGGAGGGAGCUAGCGUUGUUCGGAAUUACUGGGCGUAAAGCGCACGUAGGCGGCGAUUCAAGUCAGGGGUGAAAUCCCGGGGCUCAACCCCGGAACUGCCUCUGAAACUAGAUUGCUAGAAUCUUGGAGAGGCGAGUGGAAUUCCGAGUGUAGAGGUGAAAUUCGUAGAUAUUCGGAAGAACACCAGUGGCGAAGGCGACUCGCUGGACAGGUAUUGACGCUGAGGUGCGAAAGCGUGGGGAGCAAACAGG
rnacentral:rRNA from 1 species